GCUAUGGUGGUAGUUCCACCAUGCUCCAGUUGAAGGUCACGGCCACGUCCUCGCGCUUCUUCAUGUUAACGGAGACGAGAAUGGUCUCACAGUUCCAUAACCUUCGAUCGAUCGUCCAAUUUCUCAUCUGAAGCCCAAGAAUUGCAAGCGAGAGCUUGGAUGAAUAGCAUGAGAAAUAUCACGGCGUUGCAUUACUUUGCCAGGCCAAAACAGAGAAGCCCCAAUGCAAUAUGACGCCCUCUCUCUCUCUCUAAAAUCAGAAUGCUCAUCAUUUUCUCUCUGUCUAUGUCUCAUAUAUGUAAACUACUCACUCGACCCAGAGCUCUCUCUCUCUCUCUCUGCGACACACACUGAUUCAUGAAUUCUCAAAGAAUGAGGAGAUGGCUCGUAGAAUCAGCCAUGGCCAUUCGGGCCCAAAGGGUAGAGGCUCGUGAGGAAAACUUAUUCGUGGCGUUGUUGUCCGAGAUGGUAGACAGAUUCGACGACAUAGCCGACUACAUGACCAGCAUCUCAUGCACAACCGGCCAUCGACCACUGAACAGAAAGGAGCGCAACAUGCUGUUCUUGGCCUUCAAAUCCCUGGUCAAGCCUCGCAGGGCCUCAUGGCGCAAGAUUAAAGACAUAGAAAGGGUCGAGGACGAACCCCACUGCUUGGCUAUCAUUACGGAUUAUCUCUCACGAAUCGCGUCCGAGAUCGUUUCCAUCUGUGAGCGUAUCCACCGUUUUCUCAACUCCUACCUCAUUCCAUCUGAGGACUCUGCCGAAGCCAGGGUCUUCUACCGGCAGAUGAAGGCCGACUACUUUCGGUACCUCGCUGAGAUCAAGACCGACGAAUAAAUGCUACUUGAGGCCUACGAAGCCCACUUGAACUAUGAAGGGGCCAUAGUAACAAACUCUUGGGGCAUUUCUCUCUUAUUUCUUGGUUUUCUUUGCUAUCUAGAUCAAUUUUUGGGGUUUCUUCAUGUCUACUCAAGAAAGUGAGGAGGGUUUGAUCUGGUGUUUGCCUCUCUUCAGAUAAUCGCUAUGGCGGAACUGAGACCUGCAAACACCACCAGGCUAGUGGCUUCUCUCAAUUUUGCGGUAUUCAAAGCGGAUAUCCUCAAUUCCACCGAAGAGGCCUAUGCUUUGGCUGUUGAGUCGUUCGAAGAGGGCUUAGAGGGGUCGGAUGAGCAUGAAGAUGACCUCGAUGAGAGCGCGUCCAUCAUGUUCACCAUUUUUUAAAAUAUAGAACUAUGGACCUCCGACUAAGGUCCAGAAUGUCUUUCUCUGGACCUCCGACUAAGGUCCAGGAGAUCUGUUGGUUUGUUUACAGGUUGAAGGGGAUCACGAUAUGAAAGACUCCGAAAGGGGGAACAGUAGUCGAGUUUUGUUCUCGGAUUCUCGUGUCCCCGUCCGCGAAGAAAACCUAGACGAGCAGCCUUCCAACCCACUAUCUUCCCAAGAUUUCCUUGUUCAUUUUGGUGCAAAACUGAUUCCAGUCACGACAUGGUGAGAGUUUUUCGUUUCUUUUGAUGUUAUAUUUUGGGGACUGUUUAGGCAUUUAUGCAAAAUUUUGAGCUAACAGAGCACCAUGUGAGGCAGUAACUCAAUUAUUCCAUUGAUUCAUUCAAUCUGUUUUGGGGUGUAUACCCAGGAUCUUUGUUUCUU